rnacentral:rRNA from 1 species
AAAAAAAAAAUAAUUUUAAUAAUAUUAGUUAUAAUAUAAUGAUUAAAUUAGUAAUUUAAUUUGUAUAAAUUAUUUUAUGAAUAGUAUAUAUAUAAAUAUAUAUUUAAGUAACUAGGCAAAAUAAUUAUAUUCACCUGUUUAACAAAAACAUGUCUUUUUGAAUUUAAUAUAAAGUCAGUUCUGCUCAAUGAGGGAUUAAAUAGCUGCAGUAUUUUGACUGUACAAAGGUAGCAUAAUCAAUUGUCUUUUAAUUGAAGGCUGGGAUGAAUGAAUUAAUGAAAUAUAAACUGUCUCAAUAAUAUAAAAUAAAUUUAAAUUUUGAGUCAAAAUGCUUAAUUUUAUUUAAGGGACGAUAAGACCCUAUAGAAUUUUAUAUAUUAUAAAUUUUAUAAAUUGUAUUAAUAUAUUUAGUUGGGAGGAUUUUUAAAUUUAUUUAACUUUAAAAUUUUAAAAUAUUGAUUAAUAGAAUUUUAAAUUGAAAUAUAAUUAAUAAUAUAAAAAUAAAUUACCUUAGGGAUAACAGCGUAAUAUUUUUGGAAAGAUCAAAUUGAAAAAGGUGUUUGCGACCUCGAUGUUGAAUUAAAAUUAAUUAUAAAUGCAGGUGUUUAUAAAUUUAGUCUGUUCGACUAUUAAAAUUUUACAUGAUUUGAGUUCAGAUCGACGUGAGUCAGAUUGGUUUCUAUCUUUAAAAAGAUUUAAGAUUUUUGUACGAAAGGACUAAGUUUUAAAAAUAAUUUUUAAUUAAUUAUUAAUAA